rnacentral:rRNA from 1 species
CAGUCGCCACGGUAAUACGGAGGGUGCAAGCGUUAAUCGGAAUUACUGGGCGUAAAGCGCACGCAGGCGGUUUGUUAAGUCAGAUGUGAAAUCCCCGAGCUUAACUUGGGAACUGCAUUUGAAACUGGCAAGCUAGAGUCUUGUAGAGGGGGGUAGAAUCCCAGGUGUAGCGGUGAAAUGCGUAGAGAUCUGGAGGAAUACCGGUGGCGAAGGCGGCCCCCUGGACAAAGACUGACGCUCAGGUGCGAAAGCGUGGGGAGCAAACAGGAUUAGAUACCCCUGUAGUCCCUGUCUCUUAUAC